AACGAACGCUGGCGGCAUGCCUAACGCAUGCAAGUCGAACGAGACCUUCGGGUCUAGUGGCGCACGGGUGCGUAACGCGUGGGAACCUGCCCUUAGGUUCGGAAUAACUCCCCGAAAGGGGUGCUAAUACCGGAUAAUGUCUUCGGACCAAAGAUUUAUCGCCUUUGGAUGGGCCCGCGUUGGAUUAGCUAGUUGGUAGGGUAAAAGCCUACCAAGGCGACGAUCCAUAGCUGGUCUGAGAGGAUGAUCAGCCACACUGGGACUGAGACACGGCCCAGACUCCUACGGGAGGCAGCAGUGGGGAAUAUUGGACAAUGGACGAAAGCCUGAUCCAGCAAUGCCGCGUGAGUGAUGAAGGCCUUAGGGUUGUAAAGCUCUUUUACCCGGGAUGAUAAUGACAGUACCGGGAGAAUAAGCUCCGGCUAACUCCGUG
rnacentral:rRNA from 1 species